rnacentral:rRNA from 1 species
UGGGGAAUAUUGCACAAUGUGGGAAACCCUGAUGCAGCGACGCCGCGUGAGCGAAGAAGGUUUUCGAAUCGUAAAGCUCUGUCCUAUGGGAAGAUAAUGACGGUACCAUAGGAGGAAGCCCCGGCUAACUACGUGCCAGCAGCCGCGGUAAUACGUAGGGGGCAAGCGUUGUCCGGAAUCACUGGGCGUAAAGGGUUCGCAGGCGGAAAUGCAAGUCAGUUGUGAAAGGCAGAGGCUCAACCUCUGUAAGCAAUUGAAACUGUAUUUCUUGAGAUGUGGAGAGGCAAGUGGAAUUCCUAGUGUAGCGGUGAAAUGCGUAGAUAUUAGGAAGAAUACCGGUGGCGAAGGCGACUUGCUGGACACAAACUGACGCUGAGGAACGAAAGCGUGGGUAGCAAACAGG